ensembl:lncRNA
AGUCAAAAUCAGCUGGAGCUAAUUUACUCUGUAAGUGGGACUUGGGGAAGAAGGGAUUUAAAACAGACUUAGUUAAAGGGAAACUUCAAUGUAAGAGAAAAACAAUGGUUUUACUAGAGAUAUUUCUUGAUAUUAUAGUUUGGUGAAUACAUUCUAGUCACAGGGAAAUGGUUUUGUGUGGGUUUUUUUGUUUCUUUUGCAGAUAAUAGUCUUUCACAUAGUAUAUAAAUGAUAGCGACUACACAUUUAAAUAAAGAAUAUUUCCGUUAGUGAGGAUGUAGUCAGUAAUAAAGGCUAAUUCUCCUCUACCUCACUUCUUGCAGGCAGAGAGCUUUUAUAUCCUGUAGCACUUAAGAUCAGAGCAAAGAUCCUGCCAUUUUUCUUUUCUAAAAUGUCACCCUUCAUUUAGGGUCUAUUAAGUAUUGGAGUCAACAUCAGGAGCCUAGAAUUCAUUUGAUGCACAAAGUUAAUAAGGAUUCUUACUUAAAAUAUUUUAUUUCUAUUUUGGUAUAGCCUACAGUUAUUGAAUGACUUUGGAUGUGAAGUCAAUUUUGUAUGAAGAUAUUGGGAAGGAGGAUUUGCAUUCACCAAUUGACAUUUUUCCAGAUGUCUCCAUUUUUUCACAUUGUUGGGUAUGAUGAAUUGCUCAGUUCACUGUGGCAACUCCCUUGCAAUUUACUUUCAGGAAACUUGCUCUCAUUAGAUCUAAAUUAUUCCCUGAAGAAGAAGAGAAUUUACAUUUUUGUUUGGGUACACAGAAUAUUAAUAGGUUCCAGGUGCCAGUUUGAUUGAGAAGCUUUGUUUUAGGUCUAAUUUCUCAGCCAGCAAGUUGAAAAGGCUUCUGUAGUUUUAUCUACCCAGUGCAGAGUGCUAUGUGCAGAGAUACCUAGACCAUGCAUCCCCAAACCUAUGUAUGACCCCGUUUUCUCAAGUGAGAGAGACAGGCAUGUUAUCUCAAGCAUGACACCUUAUUAAAGAUCUACACUAAUUCUGCAAGACAGUAGAGCACUAUGACAGUAGUCAGAGCAUGACCUUUCCUGUAGAAAUGUAUGAGAUUAUAUCGUAUUAGGAAUGAUACUAACAUGAAUUGAAGAAAAUGAUCACGUGCCCGUCAAUAUAAUAAAAUGAACUAGCAGAAAAUAAAAUGUAAGUGCUUGUAAAUGUUGACACCCAUUUUAUAUCCUUUCUCACCAGUGUGUGCUUGGUCUUUUCACUUGUGGUUUUUCUGCAGAAGUCGUAUUUCUUCUUUUGGUUCAUAUUUCUAAAAUAAUAUGCAAUUCCAUGAAGUUGUAGCACUGGUGCAAACCAAAGAACGUUCAGCUGAAGAACAUUCCUAAGAAGCAAUUGCUCAGAUCUCCGUGUAUUAAGUCAUACAGAACAGAGGCACUAUAUUAAGAAAAAAAAAAAGAAAAGAAGAAAAAAAAAAGGAUCAGAGUUUUUCGCUGCUUAAAUAUAAAGAACAGUAAAUUAUUUUCAUAAUGAAGGAAUAAUAUGCCAGGCU